CAGUAAGCCAUUCAAAAUUCAAGUGUAGUAAAAUAUUACAAAAAUUCAAGGCACACAAACAAUUAUUAAUCAAUUUAUAAGUUGUAAAUUGGCGGCAAAAGUGAAAAAGCUCUCAUUUAAUAAAAAAAAGCACCCAUUUAAUGAAUUAAUGGUUUACAUAUAUAAAUGUACACACACAGACACACUGUACAUAAAGCUUUCCGUAAGCCUAGUACUGUUUCUGGGUAAUGGAAGUGAUGCAUUUUUGGUUGUUUGCAUCGUUUACUUAAAAAAGUCAAAAUGGCUUAAAAGUUGCCGAAAGAAAGAAGU
rnacentral:lncRNA from 1 species